rnacentral:lncRNA from 1 species
UAGCCAGCAUGUCUGUGUGGCACAAGCUCAUUCCCCCUUGCACAGCCCCUCAAACAUUGGAAAGAGCCUACGUCUGAGAGGUUUGGCACAGUGUCCGGGGAGGAUUUCCUUGUUCCCUUUUCUUUCCGGGCUCUCCUCAUGGAAGCGGAGUUCUGGUGGUGGGGCUCAUGUUUCAAAGUCAUGGCUAAGGAAGCAGCUCAGACCUCCCACACAGUGUCCCCUCAGAGGUGCUAAGCAGGCCCAGCCUCCCUCUUACCAGCCCAGGAAGUGCUGUUGAGUGUUUCUAAAGGGAAACCAUCUGUGUACACCAAGGAUCCUGUUACUCUGGAUUAGUCAAUUUGCAUGUUCAGUGUUCUAAGGGGGGAACGAUUGCCUACUGGACAGAUUAACAAUUUACUAAAAGGCCAAAAUGUGCUGCAGCAACUUAUUAUAAACACAGGCAUAUUUUCCCCAUCCCCUUGGCCUCUCAAUGUCUAUUAAUGCAGUGUCAUAAUAAUGACCAUAAUACAGCUAAUGUCCUUGAAAUUUGUGAACGCCAAACCCUUCUUGCUCGGGGCUGCAGAUACGAGUGUUGUGGAUGUUACCUGCUUCUCACUUCAGCUAUCUUGCAUCCUUAAGUGGGAAAGAGGGCCAUCUGUGCCACUGCUGCUUCCCCUAGCAGGGACAGUGGGCACUUCCGCUUCUGCACUUGAAAGUGAGGCUGCUAUUGCUACCUACACCCUGCUGGCUUGCUAGGCACAUGCACAGUCAAGCCAGCCAUGCAUGGCUCAAUUGUCCUUUCCUGCUUAACUCUUCCAGGUACCUCGUGGUCCUACUGUGGCCACUGGCAUGCCCCAGCUAUAAGCCUCCACUCUGCCAAUGACCACUCCACACACCCAGCAACCCCCAGCCCCUGCAUUUACUCUUGGUGUAGAGAUGCAUUACCCUGGACAGCGAAAAGUACGCCGGUCCCUUUCUGGUAAUGUGGUACUAUAGAGACCAUGAAGAGAGGCCGACCCCUGCUAGGUCACAGGUUGUCUAGGACAUAUAGCUCUUCUUACCAGACCUCCCUAGAAAUGAAAACCUGCUCUUAGGAAGUCCCUCCCCAUUGCAGAUCUGAGUGUGGCCACAUAGUUCGAUGAGCAGCCCAAGAAGCAACCAAGACCAAUGCCAGCCUUGUUCUUCUCAGUCGAGUCCACCUUACACACAAUGUGCACAACGGUCAGAAAAACACACAAUGUGCACAACGGUCAGAAAAACACACAAUGUGCACAAUGGUCAGAAAAACACACUGUAGGAUGAGCAGGGCUAUCUAUGAGAAGGAAGUGUGCGUACGUAGGUACAUAUAUGUGUGUAUUCCUAUAUGUAUGGGGAUGUGUGUUCAUGUAUGUCAGGUACGUGUGUAGAGGACAGAGGACAAGUCAAAGUAUUCUUCAGGUACCCUUCACUUUUCUCAUUGGCCCAGGGCCUUCCAAGUAGGUUGGGCUGGCUGUAUUGCAAGCCUCGAGUGAUCUGCCCAUCUCUGCCUCUCCAGUGCUCAGAUUUUAAGUGUGCACCACCAUGCCUGCCUUUUCUAUGUGGGUUCUGGUGACUGAACUCAGGUACUGCAUGCACUUCAAAUGAGCCAUCUCCAGCCCAGAUUUUUAAGAAUACUUUAUCAUACCUGCUAAAAUUCCUAUAAAAUUUAAUAACUUUUGUAUUCUGUAAGUUUUGAAAAAAUAAAGUAAUUUAAUCUGUUAAUUUGAGAA